rnacentral:lncRNA from 1 species
GGGGAUGACAGAGGAUGAGAUGGUUGGAUAGUGUUCUCGAAGCUACCAGCAUGAGUUUGACCAAACUGUGCGAGGCAGUGGAAGACAGGAGUGCCUGGCGUGCUCUGGUCCGGGGGUCACGAAGAGUCAGACGCGACUAAACGACUAAACAACAACAACACUUAUCUCUUUUCCUAGGACUUCCCAGUCCAUCUCUCCGUGGCAUUCUAGGGAAACCCUGAUCUGCUGCAUAUACGGUACUGAUAUUCCACCCAUUAUCAUCUCAAGUCUUACUUUUCUGAUGUUAUCUUCUGCUCAUUUGUUAACUCCUACUCGAAGGUUAAAUUGUAUAUUGCACCCUCUAAAAUAAUCUCCAAAACACCUCCACUCUUCUCUUUAACUCAUCCUCAUUCCUUAGUUUCAUGGUCAGAGUUACUAGUUCUAUGUAUUCUAUCAAUUUGUCCUGCCAAAUUUCCUUUGUGGGCACCUCUUCUUCUUUCCACUUUUUUUGCAUAUACUACUCUAGCCGCAGCAGUCAUGUACAAAAUGAUUGUGAGUGCCUUUUUUGGAAUGUCAUCACUUAUUAUCCCUAACAGAAAGGCCUCUGGUCUUUGGGGAAAUGUGAGUUUAAGAAUAUUUUUUAAAUUCUUUGUGAAUCAUUUUCCAUUACUUUCUAGUAACUAUUGUUAACCAACCAGACAGUGCUGGACAUGAGGCUCCCUCUGGAGUGCAGCUUCCCCGCAGUAGACAAGAUCCUUGUUGUAAGUCAAGUGUUGGAAGCAUUAUGGAAUCCUGUGCUUGAUAACACAAUCCCUAUACAGCAUUAAUUUAUGGUUCUGCUUUGUUUUCCAGAUCUGACAUAGGUGAAUCUUAAAUUUUACAGACAUUCUUGCUGGCAGUUAAUUCCUGAUAGUGUUGACAUGCUGAACUGUCCAGUAAUGCAUUGCCUGGAAACCCUGGGGCAAACUGUGCACAUGCUCAGUAGUACUUUAUUUAUUCUGAGGUUAAGCCUUGGCAUAGAAAACACAUUCCAGUUUUAGUCUUUACUUAAAAUAAGUAAGCCCUGGAGGGAGGGAGUUGUAAAGCCAUGGAUGAAACUAUGUGAAAUUGUGGAAUGAUGUAAAGCACAAUUCAGGAACUGAGCUAUUUUUUAAUUUUAAUUUUUAAAGUCAAAGUUCACAGUUUCUCCAGACGUUUUCAAUCCAGUUAUGCAACCACCACCAAUACUGCAAUCAAAACUCUUAAUCUGAAGCUCCUUGGUGCUUCAAUUCCUGCUCUAAAUUCCUGUAAAUACUACUUCUGUGUGGUCAUACAUCUAAUUUUCUGAACUGUUCAGCUCUUUUCCAGGCUGUUCAAAUUUAUGAAGUGGCACUAGAGGCAUCAAGAGGAGAAUUUCUGAUUCACAGACUUUGAAGGGCUCUCAUUCUGAUUCCCAGGUUGGAGCCCCCCGUGCUGUGGGAGUUCAGCUGAAGCAAUGGCUCUCCAGGGUUCACGUAGACAAAGAUUUAUUUUCUUAUCUAUGAAGUGCAUUAGUCACAUCUCUAUAAAAUGCAAGCAGCACAAAAUGAAAAAUUAAAACAACAUGUCUGUUAAAAACAAAACGACAUUUAAAACCAGCAACAAUAAAUCACAGACUGAAAAUGUACUUCCUGCAUUUCAUGGCUUUUGGACAUUGCUAUUUAUAUUACCCACCCACCCAGCUAUGUAUACAAGUAAAUCUGCAAAAUUAGAAUAUGUUCUAUGUGCUUCUUAUCCCAGUUUCUUAAUGAUGGUCAUUAAUAAAGAUUUAGUAGAAACAUAGAAUUGUAGAUUUGGAAGGGAUCCUGAGGGUCAUCUAGUCCAUCCCCUUGCAAUGCAGGGAUCUCAGCUAAAGCAUCCAUGGCAGAUGGCCAUCUCACCUCUGCUUAAAAACCUCCAAGGAAGGAGAGUCCACAAUCUCCAAAUGGAAUCCAUUCCACUGUUGAACAGCUGUCACCACCAUAAAGUUCUUCCUGAUGUUUAACUUGAAGCCCUUGGUUUGGGUCCUUCCCUCCAGAGCAGGAGAAAAGAGGCUUGCUUCACCACCCAUGUGGCAGCCCUCCUCUGCACACAUUGAUUUGAUAUGCCAAAUAAUUACUGAUGAAUCUGGCAAUGUGUGCGCAAGUCCACAAAUGUGCCUGCCAUGAUAAUGUUGCAGUGCUGUGUAGCUUUACGUGAAAAGAAUUUCCAUUGUGUGCAAUGGAUUUUACUCUCCAAUAAGUGCGUUUGGCAUUGCAAUCUAACAGCGACAGUGGAGGCUAGCCAAAUAGGGCAAAUGGGGCCACGUCCCACCAAUGUGAGUCUCCCCCAGCCGGCACCCACCUGACUUUAACAACCAGCCCAGAGGAUGGCCCGGGCUGCCAGGCUCCUUUGUCUCAGUUUUCCCUUGUAGAACUCAGGAGGGAGGAAGAUGGGGACAAAACUGCAAGGAAAAAAUAGAGAAAGGAGAAUUUCUGGAUGCAUACAUCCAAGUUUAGGGCCAGUACACUUUGGUGACAGAACCCCAGAAGAGAUUUAAAAUCACAAAAUAUGCAGCAAAGUAAGACUUUUAAAAUACUGUAUGUACAGUGGUACCUCGGGUUAAGUAUUUAAUUCGUUGCAGAGGUUUGUUCUUAACCUGAAACUGUUCUUAACCUGAAGCACCAAUUUAGCUAAUGGGGGCUCCUGCUGUUGGCGUGCCGCUGGAGCACGAUUUCUGUUCUCAACCUGAAGCAAAGUUCUUAACCCAAGGUAAUAUCUCUGGGUUAGCGGAGUUUGUAACCUGAAGCGUAUGUAACCUGAAGCAUAUGUAACCUGAGGUACCACUGUAAUUCCAAGUUCCUUCUAGUGUUUUUCACUUCCCCUAGCAUAAGAAGAUCUCACAUUUGGUAAGUUAAAAAUGGUUGUUUACAAACUCUCCAAAGGUCAGAUUCAUGUGUUUUUCCAUAUAGCAUUCAGAAAAAAGUGGCACAGGUAGUAAAACUUGACUUAGCAUUUGGGAAUGCCAUUUCCAGAGGAGAUAUAAACUUUCAAUGACUGAGUUUUGUUGUGGGGUGUAACUAACACUUCUCAUGUGUCUUAUUCCUUCCUCCCUCAGGCAGAUUUUCACGUGGUGUGAGAUAAACUCACCUCUGUUAUAGAGGACCAAUGCUGCAGGAGUACCGGUAAGUGGGAAGGUGGCGGCAACAACUACUGGAGUGUAGUUGGCAGCAUUGUGGGGUUGUGCCCAUCCACCACCCCCGCUUUGGCAGGAAGCUGCCUCUCCCAGACACAAUAGUUCUGCUUCCUGAGGGUUCUUCUGCAAGCACAAGUGCCGGCUCAUCCAACUCCCCAAGCUGGGCGGCAGGGCUGGC